AGUGAACGUUGGCGGCGUGGAUUAGGCAUGCAAGUCGAGCGAGAACCGUAGCAAUACGGGGACAGCGGCGAAAGGGACAGUAAUGUGUAGGUACCUACCCCGAGGUCUGGGAUAGCUGCGGGAAACUGCGGGUAAUACCGGAUAAUGUCUUCGGACCAAAGGUGUGAUUCCACCUUGGGAGGGGCCUGCAUCCUAUUAGCUUGUUGGCGGGGUAACGGCCCACCAAGGCGACGAUGGGUAGCGGGUGUGAGAGCACGACCCGCGUCAUUGGGACUGAGACACUGCCCAGACACCUACGGGUGGCUGCAGUCGAGGAUCUUCGGCAAUGGGCGCAAGCCUGACCGAGCGACACCGCGUGCGGGAUGAAGGCCUUCGGGUUGUAAACCGCUGUCGUAGAGGAGGAAAUGCAGGGGGGUUCUCCCUUCUGUUUGACCUAUUCUAGGAGGAAGGACGGGCUAAGUUCGUGCCAGCCGCCGCCGUAA
rnacentral:rRNA from 1 species